GUUUCCAAGGGCAACUGCAUUGGCCUUGACUUGCUUAGCAUAGGCCUUGAACCCGGGAACCAUGGCCUGCUUCAAGGCAACAGCUAGGGCAGCAAUCUGGUGAUUGUGGGGGCCACCUUGGAGGGAGGGGAAAACAGCAAAAUUGACCUUGUCCUCAAAAUCAUAAACUGCAUCUUCCGGCUGGCCCUUCUUGGGUGGUUUAGGACCCUUACGGUAGAAGAUCAUACCAGCCCU
rnacentral:lncRNA from 1 species